UACGUAGGGGCAAGCGUUGUCCGGAGUACUGGCGUAAGCGCACGCAGGCGGUCUCUUAAGUUUGGAGUGACAGUUGGUGGCUUAACUGCCAAAGUGCUUCGAAACUGACAGACUUGAGGCUUCAGAGGGACACGGAAUCCGGGUGGAGUGGUGAAAUGCGUAGAGAUCCGGAGGAACACCAAAGGCGAAGGCAGUGUCCUGGGGAGUACCUGACGCCUCAGGUGCGAAGCCAGGGAGCGAA
rnacentral:rRNA from 1 species